rnacentral:rRNA from 1 species
UACGUAGGUGGCAAGCGUUGUCCGGAAUUAUUGGGCGUAAAGCGCGCGCAGGCGGUUUGUCGCGUCGGCCGUGAAAUCUCCACGCUUAACGUGGAGCGUGCGGUCGAUACGGGCAGACUUGAGUUCGGUAGGGGAGACUGGAAUUCCUGGUGUAGCGGUGAAAUGCGCAGAUAUCAGGAGGAACACCGGUGGCGAAGGCGGGUCUCUGGGCCGAUACUGACGCUGAGGAGCGAAAGCGUGGGGAGCGAACAGG